AUUGAACGCUGGCGGCAGGCCUAACACAUGCAAGUCGAGCGCGCGGCGGACGGGUGAGUAAUGUGCGGGAAACUGCCUGUUGUGGGGGGAUAACUAGUGGAAACGGUAUCUCAUAUCGCACAUGAUCAGAUAUGCCCAGAUGGGAGUAGCUAGAGGGUGGGGGAACGGCUCACCUAGGCGACGAGCCCUAGCUGGUCUGAGAGGGGGACCAGCCACACUGGGACUGAGACACGGUCCAGACUCCUAUGGGAGGCAGCAGUGGGGAAUAUUGCACAAUGGGCGCAAGCCUGAUGCAGCCAUGCCGCGUGUAUGAAGAAGGCCUUCGGGUUGUAAAGCACUUUCAGCGGGGAGGCGUUACCCACAGAAGAAGCACCGGCUAACUCCGUGCCAGCAGCCGCGGUAAUUC
rnacentral:rRNA from 1 species